UCUAGAGCUCUAUUAGCCCUUGACUCUCAGUUGCAUUAUAUUACACUAGUCAUUGGACAAAGGCUUAUUUUGUAGGGGGAGUUUUAAGAGCCCAGAUGCCUGGUCUGAACAUUAACACGCAUCACAUGUGGUACAGUUUUGGAAGCAUAAGGACAUUAUCUUUAUCAGCUAGAAAACAAAAAGUUGAAUUGAUACAAAUGUAUAGGGUAGUGUCCCCCCACGGGCAUAUCGCCAUGUUACAGCACUUUAACGGAGAACGGUGCUAAUUAGCUGUCUAGCGUGCCCCCCGAACGCCUACUCUGGAAGUGCAGUUUCGUUGGAUGGAUCUAUUCAAAUCUGCUACAGCUACAGAGAUGGGCUCCUGGAUCACCUCAAGGUCAUCCUUGAUCGACCACCGCAUAUGUGGAAGCUGUGCAUCCCAGGACCCCUGUCAGCCCAGUGUGAGAGGCCUGACCUAUGCAUCCCAGGACCCCUGUCAGCCCAGUGUGAGAGGCCUGACCUAUGCAUCCCAGGACCCCUGUCAGCCCAGUGUGAGAGGCCUGACCUAUGCAUCCCAGGACCCCUGUCAGCCCAGUGUGAGAGGCUUGACCUAUGCAUCCCAGGACCCCUGUCGGCCCAGUGUGAGAGGCCUGACCUAUGCAUCCCAGGACGCCUGUCGGCCCAGUGUGAGAGGCCUGACCUAUGCAUCCCAGGACGCCUGUCGGCCCAGUGUGANNNNNNNNNNGCCCAGUGUGAGAGGCCUGACCUAUGCAUCCCAGGACCCCUGUCAGCCCAGUGUGAGAGGCCUGACCUAUGCAUCCCAGGACCCCUGUCAGCCCAGUGUGAGAGGCCUGACCUAUGCAUCCCAGGACCCCUGUCAGCCCAGUGUGAGAGGCUUGACCUAUGCAUCCCAGGACCCCUGUCGGCCCAGUGUGAGAGGCCUGACCUAUGCAUCCCAGGACGCCUGUCGGCCCAGUGUGAGAGGCCUGACCUAUGCAUCCCAGGACGCCUGUCGGCCCAGUGUGAGAGGUCUGACCUAUGCAUCCCAGGACCCCUGUUGGCCCAGUGUGAGAGGCCUGACAAGGAGGCGGGCAUAGCUAUUUGUCUCCCACGUCAAUCUUGAGGGUGACUGAAGCCUGCUUGAUUGAAGUGGGGUAUGCUGGUCCCCAUCAAUCUCUGUAGGUGGUUGAGUUUUCUAAAGUCAAAAUAAAUCACGUUUACGUGAUGACAUCACACUUUGUUGCUUUGUAUUGUUUCUUCAAGCAUUCGGACAGGAGAGCAGUGUUACAAAUUGUAUGAGUCAAAGGGUCCUGCACACUGUUGGGUGGCCGGGUGCCCAUAUAAGGCAUAUGGCUCUAAUAUAUUCCUUAAAUGUCAAAUGAUGUCUCAUCAUCAUUUAUGUUGAUCAAUAUUUCGGUUGUGCUGGCCUAAUUUGUAAAUGAUCAAAUAAAUGUCUGAUCAAUACAUACAAUUCCGAAUAUAUUGUUAUUUAUAAUGCUAAUGAAGAGGCACCAAAAAAUUGUCCAGUACACUCAUUCAUUAUAUGCUGUUUUCAUAUGUCUACGCUUCUAAGGUGUCUCGGGCUUUACUAAUUAUUGUAAAGAAAUGUAUUCUGUAAUUAGUUACAAAACAAUAGUCUGACUAAACUUCAUAUGGAGAAAAGGAAUGCUGUAUUCUAUUUUGGAAACAGACGACUUUGUUAUUGGACUAAUAUAUGCAUAAACACAGUGCAUCUGUACACCAAGAAUGAUAUGUAAAUGUGACACAUGUCAAGAACACGAGCCAGUUCUCUUGGCCAUGAGAGCAUUUUGCAGAGAAAAUGGGUUGUGAAUUACAAUUUAGGUAAGGAUUGUUUACCUUGUUACCAGGCGACGACCACAAGGGCGUUUUCAAAGAGCUCUCAUUCAAGGCGAGCUCAUGAAUAUAAGCUCUCCUCCCACUCAGCCUGUUCUUUCAGGCUUCCCGAUAGUUAGAGAUGAGAGAAGGUACAAUUUCUUCAAUUCUGAGCAUUAAUGGUGUAAAAAUAUUAUGGGGGAUGUUUUGGUCAUGCAAAGGCUAUUUUUGCUUGGGAAAUAGGAUGAUUUAGGAGAAAUUGUAGAAAUAGGCAGGGUUUAGGGUCGUCAUUAGUUGACACAAAGUCCUUUUUAAUACAAAAAAACAGACAAUGCUGACAUAAUUUCUGAUUUCUUAAAGAAAAUAGUGAGGUAAUAAACAAUAUCUUUAUAAAUGAUUGUAAAGCAAUAAAUAAUUUAAGACUAUAUACUGGAUACUGAGUUAUUAACAAAAGGAGCAAAGUUCACAGUACACAUGGAGAAAUGCCUGUAAAAUGACUAGCAUACAUCCAAAGUCAUGUUUAACAUGUGACUGGACAGCCUAUAUCCCAAGUCAUGUUUAACACAUGUGACUGGACAGCCUAUAUCCCAAGUCAUGUUUAACACGUGACUGGACAGCCUAUAUCCCAAGUCAUGUUUAAUACAUGUGACUGGACAGCCUAUAUCCCAAGUCAUGUUUAAUACAUGUGACUGGACAGCCUAUAUCCAAAGUCAUGUUUAACACACGUGACUGGACAGCCUGUAUCCCAAGUCAUGUUUAAUACAUGUGACUNNNNNNNNNNGCCCAGUGUGAGAGGCCUGACCUAUGCAUCCCAGGACCCCUGUCAGCCCAGUGUGAGAGGCCUGACCUAUGCAUCCCAGGACCCCUGUCAGCCCAGUGUGAGAGGCCUGACCUAUGCAUCCCAGGACCCCUGUCAGCCCAGUGUGAGAGGCUUGACCUAUGCAUCCCAGGACCCCUGUCGGCCCAGUGUGAGAGGCCUGACCUAUGCAUCCCAGGACGCCUGUCGGCCCAGUGUGAGAGGCCUGACCUAUGCAUCCCAGGACGCCUGUCGGCCCAGUGUGAG
rnacentral:lncRNA from 13 species